GCAUGCAUCGUUUUAAAAUUUUGUCUACGACCUCGUAUUAUUUUUGCAUCAGAAUAGUUUGUAGUGGACCUAUCAAAUCCUGCUUGUUUGUCUUUGGCCCUACGACAACAAUCUUUACUUUCUUUGGAUGCUGACUGUGUGAGAAAGGGAAACCUGCUGCCAACAAAAUUAUAAAGGCCAAGAUUCGUGGUGUACUCUGCAACCCCGCGACAAGUACGGACUAUUCGCUGAUCGUGGUCGAGUCUGAACAGCUUGCUACUUUUACUAGUAGCACUAUUCUUGUUUCAGAAUGACUGAGGAGAGAAAAGAUUACGUGCUUCUGUCUCACGAUGUGCUGAGUAUUCAGAAGUGUAUUGAUCUCGUUGGGGACACAUCAGCUGGUGCAAUAUCCACCUUCAUAGGCACAACACGGGAUCAUUUUCAAGGCAAACGGGUUCUGAAGUUGUCCUAUGAAGCAUAUGAGAGCAUGGCAGAGUGUCAGCUGUAUGCUCUGUUGAAGUCUGUACGAGAACGCUGGAACGUACAUCAUGCUGCUGUCUUUCAUAGACUAGGGGAAGUUCCCAUCGGCGAAGCCAGCGUAAUGAUUGCUAUAUCGUCUUGUCAUCGCAAGGAAUCACUCGAAGCAGUUAGCUAUGCCAUCGACGCACUGAAAGCUAACGUGCCAAUCUGGAAGAAGGAGAUCUACGAUGAUGGUGACAGCACUUGGAAAGAGAACAGUGAAUGCUCUUGGGCUACGUCAGCGACUGCUGCACAUUCCUCCUCUGCUACUCCUGCGAUUGCCAAAGAACAUCAGUCCACAUCACAGCAAACGACCAGCAAGUGUGAAGACGGAAUGGCUUCCGUCAGCUAGCUACCGGUAUGUGCUGGCGGUCCAUUGCGGAUCUUGCAGCACGUCAUGUGCGCUCUCGUCAAUUGAUCGCUGAUGUCCGCAUGCAGCUAGGAAUAUUCCACUACGUGUUUACAUUGUACAUGAACGGUGUACGCGGUCAGCUUCUCAACACACUGACUAGUCAGCGCAUUGUGUGUGUGAGGAUUGUCCAGCCAGCAGUACUGCAUACUGAAUAAGUUAUCUACUUCAUUGAGCAGCUCAACAUCCACUCGGAGUAAUCCUCUGUGCCGACCAGUAUGUAUUCCUUGGCGCGGCUUGCCAUGCCCUGCGGUCAGACGAAUACACUAUGAGACUGACUCCAACUGACUGGGCAGCACUGGAGCGCGCAGUUGUCAUUUGAUUGACUUGAGUAAUGGCUAGAUAGCGGCCACUGGUCAUGCACUGCAGCUUUCUGUUGUCAUCACUGGCUGUGUUGUACCAUGCUGUCGGACUGUCAUUUGAAUGCAUCAUAGUGCCGAGAGCGAGCGAGAGAGAGAGAGAGAGAGAGAGAGAGAGAGAGAGAGAGAGAGAGAGAGAGAGAGAGAGAGAGAGAGAGAGAGAGAGAGAGAGAGAGAGAGAGAGAGAGAGAGAAAGAGAGAGAGAGAGAGAGAGAGAGAGAACAGUGGGAUGGAGGCACUUGCAUUUUGGUCAUGCUUUGCAUAUCCAAAGCUUGGCAUAUGCAGCUCUCUGCUUUCGACUAUGAACGAAACGACAACGUCAGCUGAGGCAAUGCUGGGACAAUCUGAUGGCACUGCAGCUUAUUAUCUGCUGCACAUGGCUAUCAUGCAGAUUAUCGCUUACAUAACGUUACAGUACAGUGUGCCUUCUGUACUGUACUCUACAUAUUGAACAGUGAACAUGAUUCAAGCCCGGCUAUAAAGUACAGAUUUUACGAUUUUCCUUUGAUUAUGCCCUUGACCUGGUCUUUCAGCACAGACUGCUAUUAUAAAUAUUGUGUUGCUUUUGGCCGAAAAAAAGAGGCCCGUUGACCUUUUGUAUGGCCCUUGGGGGUGUGUUGUACGCUGUGCUUCAUCAUAGUUCUAACUUAUUUUUGUCUUAUUUUCACUUGAGUUACUGUGGCUGGUACUGCAGUUCGCCUUUGACUUAUAAGGUGCAGAGCGUCUCUGGAAACCGAUGUCCAUAUUGUACUAACUUAGUAGGUGAGAGUGGAGUUGGGGACGUCUUCUCAAUCU